rnacentral:rRNA from 1 species
GACGAACGCUAGCGGCGUGCUUAACACAUGCAAGUCGAACGAAGAGCGACGGAAGCUUGCUUCUAUCAAUCUUAGUGGCGAACGGGUGAGUAACGCGUAAUCAACCUGCCCUUCAGAGGGGGACAACAGUUGGAAACGACUGCUAAUACCGCAUACGAUCUAAUCUCGGCAUCGAGGAUGGAUGAAAGGUGGCCUCUACAUGUAAGCUAUCACUGAAGGAGGGGAUUGCGUCUGAUUAGCUAGUUGGAGGGGUAACGGCCCACCAAGGCGAUGAUCAGUAGCCGGUCUGAGAGGAUGAACGGCCACAUUGGGACUGAGACACGGCCCAGACUCCUACGGGAGGCAGCAGUGGGGAAUCUUCCGCAAUGGACGAAAGUCUGACGGAGCAACGCCGCGUGAGUGAUGACGGCCUUCGGGUUGUAAAGCUCUGUUAAUCGGGACGAAAGGCCUUCUUGCGAAUAGUGAGAAGGAUUGACGGUACCGGAAUAGAAAGCCACGGCUAACUACGU